UGGAGGCCUUGCUCCGCAGACUGGAGUAUCAUCUGAUGCUCAUUGAACGUGUAAUCUGAUCAUACUGUAGAUAUGAGAGUGGCUCAUAUUAGAGUUGCAUAUGUGGCUGCUAGGAAGUUAGCUGUGCUGUUAAAGCCUGGCAAAAAUCGGAGACGCUUCGUCGUAGUAAUAAUGCCAAGCAAGAGGAGGCGGAAGUGCGACUGUUACGGCCACACACUGCGAGUUCCAGCCUCAAAGACGGCAUGGUCUGGCAAAAUAUCCUAACUGGAACAAGUAUGGCAAAAGACUGAGGCUCAUGGAAUUCCUGUAGCCGCUUCACAAGAAAAACCAAACAGGGAGAACAGAUUCUAUGAUUUUUAUAUUUAUUGUUUAGGGUUUUUUACAUGUUUUCAUGUUAUUCGCUGUAAGUCAAAUAAUAGUGAUCAAAUAUUGUUAUUUUAAAGUUUGUUAUUUAUUUAGUCAUAAAACUGUCAAAAGAUUUCCAAAUAAAGUAAAGGGCAAAGAGCUGAAAUGCAUGAUUGAGAA